AGAGGUUGAUCCUGGCUCAGGACGAACGCUGGCGGCGUGCCUAAUACAUGCAAGUCGAACGAGAGCGACCGGUGCUUGCACUGGUCAAUCUAGUGGCGAACGGGUGAGUAACACGUGGGUAACCUGCCCAUCAGAGGGGGAUAACAUUCGGAAACGGAUGCUAAAACCGCAUAGGUCUUCGAACCGCAUGGUUUGAAGAGGAAAAGAGGCGCAAGCUUCUGCUGAUGGAUGGACCCGCGGUGCAUUAGCUAGUUGGUGAGGUAACGGCUCACCAAGGCCGUGAUGCAUAGCCGACCUGAGAGGGUGAUCGGCCACAUUGGGACUGAGACACGGCCCAAACUCCUACGGGAGGCAGCAGUAGGGAAUCUUCGGCAAUGGACGCAAGUCUGACGGAGCAACGCCGCGUGAGUGAAGAAGGUUUUCGGAUCGUAAAACUCUGUUGUUAGAGAAGAACAAGUGCUAGAGUAACUGUUAGCGCCUUGACGGUAUCUAACCAGAAAGCCACGGCUAACUACGUGCCAGCAGCCGCGGUAAUACGUAGGUGGCAAGCGUUGUCCGGAUUUAUUGGGCGUAAAGCGAGCGCAGGCGGUUCCUUAAGUCUGAUGUGAAAGCCCCCGGCUCAACCGGGGAGGGUCAUUGGAAACUGGGGAACUUGAGUGCAGAAGAGGAGAGUGGAAUUCCAUGUGUAGCGGUGAAAUGCGUAGAUAUAUGGAGGAACACCAGUGGCGAAGGCGACUCUCUGGUCUGUAACUGACGCUGAGGCUCGAAAGCGUGGGUAGCAAACCAGGAUUAGAUACCCUGGUAGUCCACGCCGUAAAC
rnacentral:rRNA from 1 species